CGCUGGCGGCGUGCCUAAUACAUGCAAGUCGAGCGAACAUUGAGAGCUUGCUCUCAAAUGUUAGCGGCGGACGGGUGAGUAACACGUGGGCAACCUGCCUAUAAGACUGGGAUAACUUCGGGAAACCGGAGCUAAUACCGGAUAAUUCACAUCUACUCAUGUAGAUGUGCUGAAAGACGGUUUACGCUGUCACUUAUAGAUGGGCCCGCGGCGCAUUAGCUAGUUGGUGAGGUAACGGCUCACCAAGGCCACGAUGCGUAGCCGACCUGAGAGGGUGAUCGGCCACACUGGGACUGAGACACGGCCCAGACUCCUACGGGAGGCAGCAGUAGGGAAUCUUCCGCAAUGGACGAAAGUCUGACGGAGCAACGCCGCGUGAGUGAUGAAGGUUUUCGGAUCGUAAAACUCUGUUGUUAGGGAAGAACAAGUACCAGAGUAACUGCUGGUACCUUGACGGUACCUAACCAGAAAGCCACGGCUAACUACGUGCCAGCCGCAGC
rnacentral:rRNA from 1 species